CUUAUGUUGUGUGUAUAGUGAUCCGUCUGUCCCACACUCGUCCCACGGCCACAGAUUGACUAGAGGGGAUAUAGUACUGGUCCAGUGACCCCCACCACUGACCAGUUUCGCAGCCCUCUUACAUCC